rnacentral:rRNA from 1 species
CGGGAUCUACCUUUUCGUGGGGGAUAACGUAGGGAAACUUACGCUAAUACCGCAUACGCCCUACGGGGGAAAGCGGCGGACCGCAAGGCGUCGCGCGAUGAGAUGAACCGAUGUCCGAUUAGCUAGUUGGCGGGGUAAAGGCCCACCAAGGCGACGAUCGGUAGCUGAUCUGAGAGGAUGAUCAGCCACACUGGAACUGAGACACGGUCCAGACUCCUACGGGAGGCAGCAGUGGGGAAUAUUGGACAAUGGGCGCAAGCCUGAUCCAGCCAUGCCGCGUGGGUGAAGAAGGCCUUCGGGUUGUAAAGCCCUUUUGUCCGGAAAGAAAAGCACGGGAUUAAUACCCUCGUGUGAUGACGGUACCGGAAGAAUAAGCACCGGCUAACUUCGUGCCAGCAGCCGCGGUAAUACGAAGGGUGCAAGCGUUACUCGGAAUUACUGGGCGUAAAGCGUGCGUAGGUGGUUUGUUAAGUCUGUCGUGAAAUCCCCGGGCUCAACCUGGGAAUGGCGAUGGAUACUGGCAAGCUAGAGUGAGGUAGAGGAGAGUGGAAUUCCCGGUGUAGCAGUGAAAUGCGUAGAGAUCGGGAGGAACAUCAGUUGCGAAGGCGGCUCUCUGGACC